rnacentral:rRNA from 1 species
UACGUAGGGUGCGAGCGUUAAUCGGAAUACUGGGCGUAAAGCGUGCGCAGGCGGUGAUGUAAGACCGAUGUGAAAUCCCCGGGCUUAACCUGGGAACUGCAUUGGUGACUGCAUUGCUGGAGUAUGGCAGAGGGGGGUGGAAUUGCCACGUGUAGCAGUGGAAAUGCGUAGAGAAUGUGGAGGAACACCGAUGGGCGAACGGCAGCCCCCUA